rnacentral:rRNA from 1 species
AUGAACGCUGGCGGCAUGCUUAGCACAUGCAAGUCGAACGGGAAGUGGUGUUUCCAGUGGCGAACGGGUGAGUAACGCGUAAGAACCUGCCCUUGGGAGGGGAACAACAACUGGAAACGGUUGCUAAUACCCCGUAGGCUGAGGAGCAAAAGGAGAAAUCCGCCCAAGGAGGGGCUCGCGUCUGAUUAGCUAGUUGGUGAGGUAAUAGCUUACCAAGGCGAUGAUCAGUAGCUGGUCCGAGAGGAUGAUCAGCCACACUGGGACUGAGACACGGCCCAGACUCCUACGGGAGGCAGCAGUGGGGAAUUUUCCGCAAUGGGCGAAAGCCUGACGGAGCAAUGCCGCGUGGAGGUGGAAGGCCUACGGGUCGUCAACUUCUUUUCUCGGAGAAGAAACAAUGACGGUAUCUGAGGAAUAAGCAUCGGCUAACUCUGUG